CACGUAGGGCGCAAGCGUUGUCCGGAAUUAUUGGGCGUAAAGAGCUCGUAGGCGGUCUGUUGCGUCCGCUGUGAAAACUCGGGGCUUAACCCCGAGCCUGCGGUGGAUACGGGCAGACUAGAGGUAGGUAGGGGAGAAUGGAAUUCAUGGUGUAGCAGUGAAAUGCGUAGAUAUCAUGAGGAAGACCGGUGGCGAAGGCGGAUCUCUGGACAGUUCCUGACACUGAGGCACGAAGGCUAGGGGAGCAAACGGG
rnacentral:rRNA from 1 species